GACGAACCGUGCGAACGUUGUUCGGAAUCACUGGGCUUAAAGGGCGCGUAGGCGGGGUGGCCAGUCUGUGGUGAAAUCCUCCGGCUCAACCGGAGAACUGCCGUGGAUACUGCCAUUCUCGAGGGGUGUAGGGGCAUGUGGAACUCAGGGUGGAGCGGUGAAAUGCGUAGAUAUCAGGAGGAACACCGGUGGCGAAGGCGGGUCUCUGGGCAGUAACUGACGCUGAGGAGCGAAAGCGUGGGUAGCAAACAGG
rnacentral:rRNA from 1 species